rnacentral:rRNA from 1 species
GUCGAGGGGCAGCGGGGAGGUAGCAAUACUUCCGCCGGCGACCGGCGCACGGGUGAGUAACACGUAUGGAACCUGCCCGUAGCAGGGGGAUAAGCGGAAGAAAUUCCGUCUAAUACCGCGUAAUAACUCCGAGAGGCAUCUCUUGGGGUUUAAAGGGUAACAUCGGCUACGGAUGGCCAUGCGGCGCAUUAGCUAGUUGGCGGGGUAACGGCCCACCAAGGCGACGAUGCGUAGGGGUUCUGAGAGGAAGGUCCCCCACACUGGUACUGAGACACGGACCAGACUCCUACGGGAGGCAGCAGUGAGGAAUAUUGGUCAAUGGGCGCGAGCCUGAACCAGCCAAGUCGCGUGAGGGAAGACGGUCCUAUGGAUUGUAAACCUCUUUUGUCGGGGAGCAAAAGACGUCACGUGUGGCGUUCCGAGAGUACCCGAAGAAAAAGCAUCGGCUAACUCCGUGCCAGCAGCCGCGGUAAUACGGAGGAUGCGAGCGUUAUCCGGAUUUAUUGGGUUUAAAGGGUGCGCAGGCGGAAGAUCAAGUCAGCGGUAAAAUUGAGAGGCUCAACCUCUUCGAGCCGUUGAAACUGGUUUUCUUGAGUGGGCGAGAAGUAUGCGGAAUGCGUGGUGUAGCGGUGAAAUGCAUAGAUAUCACGCAGAACUCCGAUUGCGAAGGCAGCAUACCGGCGCUCAACUGACGCUCAUGCACGAAAGUGUGGGUAUCGAACAGGAUUAGAUACCCUGGUAGUCCACACAGUAAACGAUGAAUACUAAUUGUUCGGGGAGAAUGAUCCCUGAGUGAUACAGCGAAAGCGUUA